rnacentral:misc_RNA from 1 species
CAACCCUCAAGCCCCCGGGCUUGGUGUUGGGGUUCGGCCCGCCCUUAGCGGCGCGCCGUCCCCGAAAUCUAGUGGCGGUCUCGCGAUAGCCUCCUCUGCGUAGUAGCAAUAUCUCGCACUGGGACUGAGCAAGGCCACGCCGUUAAACCCCCCACUUCUGAA